rnacentral:rRNA from 1 species
AACGAACGCUGGCGGCAGGCUUAACACAUGCAAGUCGAACGGGUGUAGCAAUACAUCAGUGGCAGACGGGUGAGUAACACGUGGGAACCUUCCUAGGGGUACGGAACAACUCAGGGAAACUUGAGCUAAUACCGUAUACGUCCGUGCGGAGAAAGAUUUAUCGCCCUUAGACGGGCCUGCGUCGGAUUAGGUAGUUGGUGGGGUAACGGCCAACCAAGCCUACGAUCCGUAGCUGACCUUAGAGGAUGAUCAGCCACACUGGGACUGAGACACGGCCCAGACUCCUACGGGAGGCAGCAGUGGGGAAUCUUGGACAAUGGGCGCAAGCCUGAUCCAGCCAUGCCGCGUGAGUGAAGAAGGCCUUAGGGUUGUAAAGCUCUUUUACCAGGGACGAUAAUGACGGUACCUGGAGAAUAAGCCCCGGCAAACUUCGUGCCAGCAGCCGCCGUAAUAC